AACCUGGUUGGGUGGUCUGCCUUCACGGUACGUACUGCUUGGCCGGGUUCUACCUCUUGGUGAGCCGGCAUGCCCUUCACUGGGUGUGUCGGGGAACCAGGACUUUUACCUUGAAAAAAUUAGAGUGUUUAAAGCAGGCAUCCGCUUGAAUACAUUAGCAUGGAAUAACAGAAUAAGACU
rnacentral:rRNA from 1 species